CUUAAAUUGGCUUGUCAAAGACAAGGCUUAAAGGGGCUUGCCCGAGGGCAAGGCUUAAAUUGGCUUGUCAAAGACAAGGCUUAGAGGGGCUCGCUCGAGGGCAAGGCUUAAAUUGACUUGCUCGAGGGCAAGGCUUAAAGGGGCUUGCCCGAAGGCAAGGCUCAGAGGGGCUUGUCAAGGACAAAGCUUAGAGGGGCUUGCUCGAGGGCAAGGCUUAAAUUGGCUUGUCAAAGACAAGGCUUAGAAGGGCUUGCUCGAGGGCAAGGCUUAAAUUGGCUUGCUCGAGGGCAAGGCUUAAAGGGGCUUGCCCGAGGGCAAGGCUCAGAGGGGCUUGUCAAGGACAAGGCUUAGAGGGGCUUGCUAUACCCGAGGUUUGGAUUUAUUAAUUGUUUGGACUGGACUUGGAUUUAUAUUGCAUCCAAGCUGCC
rnacentral:lncRNA from 1 species